UCCGUAGGUGAACCUGCGGAGGGAUCAUUACUGAGUUUACGCUCUAUAACCCUUUGUGAACAUACCUAUAACUGUUGCUUCGGCGGGCAGGGUCUCCGCGACCCUCCCGGCCUCCCGCCUCCGGGCGGGUCGGCGCCCGCCGGAGGAUAACCAAACUCUGAUUUAACGACGUUUCUUCUGAGUGGUACAAGCAAAUAAUCAAAACUUUUAACAACGGAUCUCUUGGUUCUGGCAUCGAUGAAGAACGCAGCGAAAUGCGAUAAGUAAUGUGAAUUGCAGAAUUCAGUGAAUCAUCGAAUCUUUGAACGCACAUUGCGCCCGCCAGCAUUCUGGCGGGCAUGCCUGUUCGAGCGUCAUUUCAACCCUCAAGCUCUGCUUGGUGUUGGGGCCCUACAGCUGAUGUAGGCCCUCAAAGGUAGUGGCGGACCCUCCCGGAGCCUCCUUUGCGUAGUAACUUUACGUCUCGCACUGGGAUCCGGAGGGACUCUUGCCGUAAAACCCCCCAAUUUUCCAAAGGUUGACCUCGGAUCAGGUAGGAAUACCCGCUGAACUUAAGCAUAUCAAUAAGCGGAGGA
rnacentral:rRNA from 1 species